rnacentral:rRNA from 1 species
UUGAAAGGGAAACGAUUGAAGCCAGUCGUACCUAUGGGUAAUCAGCCUUUUGGGUGUGAUUUUGUGGAGCGUGAGGAGUUAAACGCCUUCAUGCCUGCAUAUUCGUGCACUUUGGGUGUACUUGCCCGUGUGUAAGUUAACAUCAAUUUUGGUGGUCAUAAAAUGGCUGGAGGAAUGUAGCUUCGAUCUUGUAUUGAAGUGUUAUAGCCUUCGGUAGAUGUGACGAUCGGGAUUGAGGAUUGCAACGGAUACCUUUAGGGCAGUUCCUUCUGGUCUCUUGUUGACGUUCAGAUGACAACAGCUUGCUUUUGUUGUUUUGAAUAGUUUUGCGAAUAGAUUGGAAAGUGAAUUAAUUCGUUAAGGAUGUUGACGUA